CCUACGGGAGGCAGCAGUGGGGAAUAUUGGGCAAUGGGCGCAAGCCUGACCCAGCAACGCCGCGUGAAGGAAGAAGGCUUUCGGGUUGUAAACUUCUUUUAAGAGGGACGAGCAGAAGACGGUACCUCUUGAAUAAGCCACGGCUAACUACGGGCCAGCAGCAGCGGUAAUCAGUAGGUGGCAAGCUUUGUCCGGAUUUACUGGGUGUAAAGGGCGUGUAGCCGGGCUGGCAAGUCAGAUGUGAAAUUCCGGGGCUCAACCCCGGACCUGCAUUUGAAACUGUUGGUCUUGAGUGUCGGAGAGGCAGGCGGAAUUCCUAGUGUAGCGGUGAAAUGCGUAGAUAUUAGGAGGAACACCAGUGGCGAAGGCGGCCUGCUGGACGACAACUGACGGUGAGGCGCGAAAGCGUGGGGAGCAAACAGGAUUAGAUACCCCUGUAGUC
rnacentral:rRNA from 1 species